UAUCUCGUUCUAAUAUGCUUAUCUAAAAGUAUGAUUUAAUUUGGAGCAGAUUGCAUCAUACAAGUCUCACCCUCUCCGCAGCGCCAAUUCCAUGAUGAAAUUUGUAUCUUGCUUUUAUUGUUCUGUGUGAUCCAAGCUAUGAUUUUGCUGCAGUGCUUACCAUGUUUUACCUUCUCAUUCUGUUGCAGAGCUUGUUUUUCAGUUUGUACAUAUUUUACUGGUUUUCAGUUCUCUUGGGUUUGUUAAUGCUACUAUGAUCCCCAUGGAGGCAUCAAUGAUUAAUUGUGAAGGAUCGGCAAUCAUGAAGAACUUUUAGAGUUAUGGCCAUCAGAAAGAGCUAAAUAAUUUUGGAAAUGGGGAAUGAAAGACCAUUCUGGUUGAUACUUCCUAAUACUUAGUUUAUUCAGUUGGUGGAUGGAUGUUUCAGUUCCUGCUAGCGAUCUAGAAUUAUUUUUCUUCCUCAUAUAGGUGAUUGGUGGGAGUACGAAAGAAGUAAUGCUCUGCUGAACCGGUGGCUUGCAGGUAUACCGUGAUUACAUCUUAUGCAUUGAGUUUCACUGUACAUUUGGUUUCAGUUCAUAUACUUUGGUGUGUAAUGUUUCUUCUGCCUAUAUUUGACACGAAUCAUGAUUGGCUGGCAAGAAGAAAAAUAUAACCAGAAGGGAACUCUGAAAAUAGAAGUGUUCUCCUUGUUGUUUACUCAUGCAUUUAACUCUUUUACUUUCAAUAUAGUUUUUUCGUUCUAUUGAUUUUAAACUUGGCCAAGGGAUUUCUGAAGGAUCCACCAGAAGGAAACCAUGAGAAUCUUCUUUCUGGGAAGAAAGUACUAAUUGAUACGAGCAUAUAUACACUAUACAGCCAAUGUGAAUGCGAUCAUGGCAGGGCAAUACUUUAUUUAUAUUGAGAAUCAGUACUUCAUCGGACGUGGACAAAUAUAUUGAAGUACUGCUAUCCAUGUGCAAGACUCUCGUACAUUUCGGUUUCCCCGGUGAUGUGCUUCAUCGACCACUGCUAUGACAGGCCUAUUUAAUUAGGAUUGCGACAUGAAUAUGUGUAUAUAUGCAAGACAUGAUUAGUUCAAAGCUCGGUCCAGCUAUCCUUCUGAAUUUCUUCUAUGCAAGCAUGUUUUGCCUUUGGCAAAGCUUCAAGUCACCCUGUACUGAAUGUAAAGUUUGCGGUGUUCAGUGAACAUUGUUUGCCUCUUUGGGUUAGAACACAACUCUAGGGCUUAGAGGCUUUACUGUGGAAGGAGAGAUAUGUAUAACAAUAAAAAAUGCAGCUGUUCCUAUUGAUUGUUUGCCAUUGUGCUAA